UACGAAGGGGGCUAGCGUUGCUCGGAAUCACUGGGCGUAAAGGGUGCGUAGGCGGGUUUUUGAGUCAGGGGUGAAAUCCUGGAGCUCAACUCCAGAACUGCCUUUGAUACUGAAGAUCUUGAGUCCGGGAGAGGUGAGUGGAACUGCGAGCGUAGAGGUGAAAUUCGUAGAUAUUCGCAAGAACACCAGUGGCGAAGGCGGCUCACUGGCCCGGUACUGACGCUGAGGCACGAAAGCGUGGGGAGCAAACAGG
rnacentral:rRNA from 1 species